rnacentral:lncRNA from 1 species
UCUGAUUCUCUUCUUCUUUUCCACUCUUGUAGUGCUCUCUCCCUCUCUCUUUCUCUCCUUUGAAUCUGAUUUUGAUUUGUUUUUUUGGUAAAGGAAGUUGGAGGAAGCACAAGAGGCCUGACGAGACGAGGUGACUGGAGGUCUCUCUUUUGUUCCAUCACCGAACUUCCGCAGACCAAGGUCUCUCUUCCUCCUCCUCUCACUUCUUUUUACUUAUCUUCAUCUCGUAACAUUGUUGGAUUGUAGUGGGAUUUGUAGUUGUUAAUGUCCGC